GUUUCAGGAAAGGUUGUUUCUUCGGCUCCUGAGUUCCUGCCGGUUCCGGAGACUUGGCUUUCCUCGUCACUGCGCAUGCGCGAAAAACCAUGACGACUUCUCCUGCUACUACACUGAGCUGCUUGGUAUGGUUGGGGUGCAGCUGGCCUAUGAGUCACUGAUUUGAUUCCUGAGAAGUUCUUCUAAUCAGGAAUCGAUUGUGACAGAGCUCUUUGGGGCCCAGCUUCACCACUUCAACUUCUUGGACAUGUUUUAUGAGCUGCCUCUCUUCGGAUACUUUUGACGAAUGACUCAGCUCCUGAGGCAUUUGAGGGAGGAUUCUUGGAGAGCCUGUUUGCCAUUAUCAGCAUGUGGGACAUGGACGUGUGGGAGCCUGCAGCAGAGCAGUACUUCACAGCGCUUAUUGAUCAGCUGACAGUGCUUUGUGAAGUACUGUUUUCUCAGCCCCUGGAGCUCUACAGCGACCCAGUAGCCUUAGCCAGUGCAGUUUCGCGGCUCCUCUGGCAGCAUGUCACGCUGAUGAUGGACACGUUGGAGAAACUCUGAGCAGUGUCCUUCUCUCUAAUCCCUACCCCCUUUACACACUCACCAUCCACUUUAUUAGGAACACUUGCUAAUUUUGCAAUUAUCCAAACAUCCAAUCAUGUGGCAGCAGCACAAUGCAUAACAUCAUGCAGAUACAGGUCA